rnacentral:tRNA from 1 species
CCCGUGAUAGUUCAGUUGGUAGAGCGGAGGACUGUAGAUCCUUAGGUCGCUGGUUCGAAUCCGGCUCGCGGGA